rnacentral:ncRNA from 1 species
AUGGCGGGCGCAGGAGUACGCGCCAGCAAUCUGAAACUGUUUUUAGACGCAGGGGUAGAAGAGCUUCACAGCUCGGCAGGUCAAUGGAUACCGUCACCCAUGCGUUAUCGCAAUACAGGGUUGUCUAUGUCGACGGAUGCUGAAGCGGAUGAGUACUCACGCUACGGUGUAGAUGGAGAGUCGGUUGCGGUAAUGAAAUCGUUGAUUGAACGUCAUCACGUGUAGCAACGUACCGAUUUUUACCGCGCAUCAUGUCGCCCAAUAUGAUGCUUGCUUGUACCAGGCCCCUGCAAUUUCAACAGGGGCCUUUUUU